AUUGAACGCUGGCGGCAGGCCUAACACAUGCAAGUCGAACGGCAGCACAGAAGAGCUUGCUCUUUGGGUGGCGAGUGGCGGACGGGUGAGUAAUGUCUGGGAAACUGCCCGAUGGAGGGGGAUAACUACUGGAAACGGUAGCUAAUACCGCAUAACGUCGCAAGACCAAAGUGGGGGACCUUCGGGCCUCACACCAUCGGAUGUGCCCAGAUGGGAUUAGCUAGUAGGUGGGGUAAUGGCUCACCUAGGCGACGAUCCCUAGCUGGUCUGAGAGGAUGACCAGCCACACUGGAACUGAGACACGGUCCAGACUCCUACGGGAGGCAGCAGUGGGGAAUAUUGCACAAUGGGCGCAAGCCUGAUGCAGCCAUGCCGCGUGUAUGAAGAAGGCCUUCGGGUUGUAAAGUACUUUCAGCGGGGAGGAAGGCGGUGAGGUUAAUAACCUUGCCGAUUGACGUUACCCGCAGAAGAAGCACCGGCUAACUCCGUGCCAGCCGCCGCCGUAAUAC
rnacentral:rRNA from 1 species